AAACGACUUUGGAAGAAUCUUUGAAUUACUUUCUGAUACUAAAAUUGAAGAUUAUUUGAUAAUUUUUAUUGGAUCGGAAGGGCCUACAUUAACUUCUAUGAUGCUUUAUUACAACCAAUCCAAAUUCCUUAGUUAUGAUCCUUUACUAAAGCGCGCGAGAAUAGAAUCCGUUGCUAUCAAUAAAACUUUAAUGAAAAGAUAUUAUCUUAUUGAAAAAGCCAAAGAUGCGAGACUAGUAGGAAUAUUAUUAGGAACUCUUGGCUCUGGAAAAUACAAAGAAAUUACUGAAUACAUGAAGCGUAUAAUCAAAAAUGCAGGGAAAAAGCCAUAC